GACGAACGCUGGCGGCGUGCUUAACACAUGCAAGUCGAACGGAAAGGCCCUGCUUUUGUGGGGUGCUCGAGUGGCGAACGGGUGAGUAACACGUGAGUAACCUGCCCUUGACUUUGGGAUAACUUCAGGAAACUGGGGCUAAUACCGGAUAGGAGCUCCUGCUGCAUGGUGGGGGUUGGAAAGUUUCGGCGGUUGGGGAUGGACUCGCGGCUUAUCAGCUUGUUGGUGGGGUAGUGGCUUACCAAGGCUUUGACGGGUAGCCGGCCUGAGAGGGUGACCGGCCACAUUGGGACUGGGAUACGGCCCAGACUCCUACGGGAGGCAGCAGUGGGGAAUAGUGCACAAUGGGCGGAAGCCUGAUGCAGCAACGCCGCGUGCGGGAUGACGGCCUUCGGGUUGUAAACCGCUUUCGCCUGUGACGAAGCGUGAGUGACGGUAAUGGGUAAAGAAGCACCGGCUAACUACGUG
rnacentral:rRNA from 1 species